AUUGAACGCUGGCGGCAGGCCUAACACAUGCAAGUCGAGCGGAUGAGUGGAGCUUGCUCCAUGAUUCAGCGGCGGACGGGUGAGUAAUGCCUAGGAAUCUGCCUGGUAGUGGGGGACAACGUUUCGAAAGGAACGCUAAUACCGCAUACGUCCUACGGGAGAAAGCAGGGGACCUUCGGGCCUUGCGCUAUCAGAUGAGCCGAGGUCGGAUUAGCUAGUAGGUGAGGUAAAGGCUCACCUAGGCGACGAUCCGUAACUGGUCUGAGAGGAUGAUCAGUCACACUGGAACUGAGACACGGUCCAGACUCCUACGGGAGGCAGCAGUGGGGAAUAUUGGACAAUGGGCGAAAGCCUGAUCCAGCCAUGCCGCGUGUGUGAAGAAGGUCUUCGGAUUGUAAAGCACUUUAAGUUGGGAGGAAGGGCAGUAAGUUAAUACCUUGCUGUUUUGACGUUACCAACAGAAUAAGCACCGGCUAACUUCGUGCCAGCCGCCGCGGUAACAC
rnacentral:rRNA from 1 species